rnacentral:rRNA from 1 species
CCUACGGGGGGCAGCAGUAGGGAAUCUUUCACAAUGGGCGAAAGCCUGAUGGAGCAACGCCGCGUGCAGGAUGAAGGCCUUCGGGUUGUAAACUGCUUUUAUAAGCGAGAAAUAUGAUGGUAACUUAUGAAUAAGGAUCGGCUAACUACGUGCCAGCAGCCGCGGUCAUACGUAGGAUCCGAGCAUUAUCCGGAGUAACUGGGUGUAAAGAGUUGCGUAGGUGGCAUAAUAAGUAGCUAGUGAAAUCUGGUGGGUCAACCAUUCAGACUAUUAGCUAAACUGUUAAGCUAGAGACCGUUAGAGGUAACUGGAAUUUCAAGUGUAGGGGUGAAAUCCGUAGAUAUUAGAAGGAACACCAAUAGCGUAGGCAGGUUGCUGGGACGGUUCUGACGCUAAGGCACGAAAGCGUAGGGAGCAAACGGGAUUAGAUACCCGAGUAGUC